UAAGUUGAGCCCAUUUCCUUCAGUGGAAAUGAAUCUUUUUUUACUUUUAUUUCACAGAUAAAAAAUAAAUAAAUUGUGAAGACAAUAAAACCUCCACAGAAAUAGCAUUUUUAGUCGUAUGUGCGACUUAUCCUGGCUUUAUGAGCAGAGAAAAUCUCCAAUAACGCUAAUAACGUUAGCAUGUUAUAUCUGUUUGGAAAACCUGUUUAGUAUAAGACAGUUGUUUUGUCGGUGGACCUUGUGAGUUGUAAUGGAGCCAACUUUUGUAACGUUACCUUUGUUAAAUGUUAGGCUAAUUUAUACAAUGUAAAAUGCCAUAGACUUGUGCUAAUAACAUUAGCAUGUUGUAUUUGUGGAGAAAAUAACAAGUGUUUGUCUGUGAAUGCUGUGAGUUAUAGUGAAGCCAAUUUGUGUACUUGUGUUUGAAAUUGUCUUUAUUAGGUCAUGUUUAAUGUGUGUUUAAUGUGUGUUUUGAAUCAGCUAAACUUUACAGCACUUCACAGAAACCCAGCUGCCGACUAGUGUUUUGAAAUAGUAACUGCAGAGUGACACAGACACACCACCGCACAAGUAUAAAUGCUCACAACGGUGUAGGCUACGUGUGUAGGCCACAGCGUAGGCUCUGCCUCACAAGUAUAAAUCCAUAAAUAAAGUAUGGUUCAGUCUGCCCCUGCACUAGGAUUCAUCUUUGAACACAGUAGGCAGGCAGAUUGAGUGACUGCUUCUGCAACACAUUCUCACUCUGACCUCAUCACAUAUCAAUGUUUAGUCAUGGACUUUCCACAUCCAGAUAUGAUGUGCAAGGUACCCUGGGUGCGUUGGUUGUUGACGUUCUGGAAGGCUGUGUCAAAUUCUGUCUGUUACAUGCAUUGUCUUCUUUUAAAAUACACUUCUGUUUUCACAGGAAAUUUAAGGUUUACAUACGUAAGAGAGGCACGGAUGAAGAGAGGAAGGGCGGGGGUUCAUAGAGACUGCGUGCGCACAGGGCCCAGAAUCUGGUGCUACACCCGUCUCUCACACACACCGUCAUAAACAACAGCUCUGUCCCUUGAAUGUGAGUUGAGUUAAGUCCAACAACCAAUAAAACUAUCACCAUUAACUGAUUAAAGCACACCUGGAUAAUGACGGGAACACAGGCUGAAAGAUAUACAUUUAAUAGAAUAUAUUACAGCGAGCAUGCAAGUAAGAUGGAUACUUAUUUUUAAAAAGAUAGGCCCCUGUGCCAGUGUACUUGAAGUUAACAAUAUGUGAGCCUAACUUCUGUCAGAAUGCUACUUCUUAUUCGGGAAUUAAAAUACAUUAUAUUUAUAUAUUUAAUUCUGCAGGUGACAUUGUGAUAAUGGGCUCCCUCUGCCCUUUUAAUGUGUGUACAGUACGCACAGCACACGUAUUUAUAUUUAGAUGUGCAGUAUGUUCGACAGCAGAGUGUUACAUUGUCACUGAGUGAGCAGCACUUAUGACAUGUUAUAAAACUUGACCUUAUAGUCAUUAUAAACUGGGAAGAGUGAGGGACAAAUCAAUACAGCAUACUGUAGUAUCACCAUAUUUUCCAUGGCAAUAUUUUAUCAAUAUAUGGAUGCCUAGUAUUGAUUUUUAUUUUGUAUUUUUAGAAUACACACAAAAUAAUCAGUAUAACAGUAUAUGAAACAGCUCAACCAACUACAACAUUAAAUUACCUAUUAGUCAAUAUAAUGAUCCAAUAAUUUAUUAACAUACGACUGACAGGUGCCCUUUAUUGUGCUCAGACUUCUUCUUUUACUUAUGUUGAAUUUUGAAUGAAGGAUUUUCACUUUCUUCAUAGAGUAGUGAUGCUGCUGUUACUUAAGUAGGUGAUCUAAACAUUCCUUCCACCACUGGAGGGUCCGAUUAGCUAAAACUGUUUGUUUUGGCCGAUGGGACUCAGAGAACCAGUUCAUGUUGUUCCAAAAAACAUUCAUGACAUCAUAUAAAUUAUGAAAAUUAUCAGAAGACAGAAAAGACGCACUAAAGACAGGCAGGGGACACAGUAUGAAUACAGAUGUCAUACGUUAACACCUUCACUUCACCUGACAUGUCAUGAGCAGGUGGAGGUGUAGACGAGCAGGAAAUUGAACUGAGAAAUUGUGUAAAAAUAUCAAACAUAGCUAACCUGCUAGACUUCUCUGGCAUGUAGAUAAAAAUAUACGUUUCGGAAAAACUGUCAACUACUGCAGUUUGUGAUUUGCAGAGGUGCUUCAGGCUCAAAGGCCCCACAGCCACCAGGGGGCCCUCUAAACCACCAAAUCAACAGGUGUGGAGGUGUCCCUUCAUUCAGUCAGUCAUCACUGUAUUAUAUAUCACUCCACAGGUGCUUGGUGGCAACAGUGGUACUAGAGAUGGCCAAGGUUUAUUCCACAUUCUGAUGCUCGGUUUGAACUUCAGCAGGUCGUCUUGACCAUGUCUACAUGCCUAAAUGCAUUGAGUUCCUGCCACAUGUCUGGCUGAUUAGCUGUUUGCGUUAACAAGCAUUUGAACAGGUGUACCUAAUAAAGUGGCCGGUGUGUGUAUAUACUAUCAGUUCCCUAAAAUGAAGCCAUAUUCUGACAAAAGCUGUGCUCAUAUAUUGUGAAUGUCAAGAUUAGAAUUAUACCACUGAUGUGAAGGACAAGCUGGCUGAGGUGUGCAGAGGUGCUGACACUCUUCAUAGAGACAAUCACUGUGAUUCUGUCACAAGCCAUUAACGAGUUUGCUCCCCCACAUGGUACCUUAACCAGGAGGAGCCCCAACUCUGUCCAGGAUGUGGACCCUCAGAGCCUCUCAGAUCAAACUGUCAUC